rnacentral:rRNA from 1 species
GAUGAACGCUGGCUACAGGCUUAACACAUGCAAGUCGAGGGGAAACGCCGGGGAAGCUUGCUUCCCCGGGCGUCGACCGGCGCACGGGUGAGUAACGCGUAUCCAACCUGCCUCUGACUGAGGGAUAACCCGUCGAAAGUCGGCCUAAUACCUCAUGGUACCGUCUGCGGGCAUCCAACGACGAUUAAAGAUUUCAUCGGUCAGGGAUGGGGAUGCGUCUGAUUAGCUUGUUGGCGGGGUAACGGCCCACCAAGGCUACGAUCAGUAGGGGUUCUGAGAGGAAGGUCCCCCACAUUGGAACUGAGACACGGUCCAAACACCUACGGGAGGCAGCAGUGAGGAAUAUUGGUCAAUGGGCGAGAGCCUGAACCAGCCAAGUAGCGUGCAGGAAGACGGCCCUAUGGGUUGUAAACUGCUUUUAUGCGGGGAUAAAGUGAGGGACGUGUCCCUCAUUGCAGGUACCGCAUGAAUAAGGACCGGCUAAUUCCGUG